CCUACGGGUGGCAGCAGUGGGGAAUGUUGCGCAAUGGGGGAAACCCUGACGCAGCAACGCCGCGUGAGGGACGAAGGCCCACGGGUCGUACACCUCUUUCAGCAGGGAAGACCUUACGACGGGACCUGCAGAAGAAGCUCCGGCUAACUACGAGCCAGCAGCCGCGCUAAUACGUAGGGGGCGAGUGGUAUCCGGAUGCAGUGGGCGUAAAGCGCGCGUAGGGGGCCGCCUAAGCGGAACCUCUAAACCCGGGGCUCAACCCCGGGCCGGGGUCCGGCAUGGGCGGCUGGAGUGCGGUAGAGGCGAGCGGAAUGCCCGGUGUAGCGGUGGAAUGCGCAGAUAUCGGGAAGAACACCGAUGGCGAAGGCAGCUCUCUGGGCCGUCACUGACGCUGAGGCGCGAAAGCUGGGGGAGCGAACAGGAUUAGAUACCCGAGUAGUC
rnacentral:rRNA from 1 species